AAGUUAGAGCUUUUUAUAAGCAUUUUAUUUACAUUAAAAAGUUAAUUGUUAAAUCAAUUUAAUUUGAA
rnacentral:tRNA from 1 species